UACGUAGGUGGCGAGCGUUGUCCGGAUUUACUGGGCGUAAAGAGCGCGCAGGCGGUCGUUCAAGUCGCGUGUGAAAGCCCCCGGCUCAACUGGGGAGGGUCACGCGAUACUGAUCGACUCGAAGGCAGGAGAGGGUAGUGGAAUUCCCGGUGUAGUGGUGAAAUGCGUAGAUAUCGGGAGGAACACCAGUGGCGAAGGCGACUACCUGGACUGUUAUUGACGCUGAGGCGCGAAAGCGUGGGGAGCAAACAGG
rnacentral:rRNA from 1 species